UCUUAAGUCUGAUGUGAAAGCCCACCCCUCAACCGUGGAGGGUCAUUGGAAACUGGGGAACUUGAGUGCCGAAGAGAGAAGCGGAAUUCCACGUGUAGCGGUGAAAUGCGUAGAGAUGUGGAGGAACACCAGUGGCGAAGGCGGCUUUUUGGUCUGUAACUGACGCUGAGGCGCGAAAGCGUGGGGAGCAAACAGGAUUAGAUACCCUGGUAGUCCACGCCGUAAACGAUGAGUGCUAAGUGUUAGAGGGUUUCCGCCCUUUAGUGCUGCAGCUAACGCAUUAAGCACUCCGCCUGGGGAGUACGGUCGCAAGACUGAAACUCAAAGGAAUUGACGGGGGCCCGCACAAGCGGUGGAGCAUGUGGUUUAAUUCGUAUCAACGCGAAGAACCUUACCAGGUCUUGACGUCGGGGGGAGAACUCUAGAGAUAGAGCGUUCCCCUUCGGGGGACAGAGUGACAGGUGGUGCAUGGUUGUCGUCAGCUCGUGU
rnacentral:rRNA from 2 species